UACGUAGGGUGCAAGCGUUGUCCGGAAUUAUUGGGCGUAAAGAGCUCGUAGGCGGUUCGUCGCGUCGGCUGUGAAAACCCGGAGCUCAACUCCGGGCCUGCAGUCGAUACGGGCAGGCUAGAGUUCGGUAGGGGAGACUGGAAUUCCUGGUGUAGCGGUGAAAUGCGCAGAUAUCAGGAGGAACACCGGUGGCGAAGGCGGGUCUCUGGGCCGAUACUGACGCUGAGGAGCGAAAGCGUGGGGAGCGAACAGG
rnacentral:rRNA from 1 species